rnacentral:rRNA from 1 species
AUGGCCUCCAGUGAGCUGCCGCCGUCGCGGAAGAAAUCCACUCCGACCACCAUAUGCGCCCUCGGCGACGACCUCCUGCGCGAGGUGUUGCUCCGCCUGCCCUCCCUCCCGACCCUCGUCCGCGCCGCGCUAACCUGCCCCGCUUUCCUCCACGCCGUCCGCUCGUCCCCCGCGUUCCGCCGCCGCUUCCGCGACCUCCACCCGGCCCCGCUCCUGGGCGUCUUCCUCGACAUCUACGGGCCCGCCAUGCCCGCCUUCGUGCCCGUCCGCCGCCGGUCCGACCCGGACCACGCCGCGGCCGUCCGCCGCGCCGACGUCUUCCUCACCCGGGUCCCCGAAGACGAAGAAGAAGGCGGAGGCGAAGACGAAUUGGAAGUCGGAUACGUCGACGGCCCCGGAUGGUUGAUGACGGAGUGCCGCGAUGGGUACGUGCUUCUCUGCCACCUGCUCACCAAGCGGGCGGCCGUCUACGACCCCCUCACGCGGGGCCUGCAUCUUCUCUCACCGCCGCACGCAGAGAUCUGCGCAGAAGACCCCGAAGUGGCCGAGGUUGAGUUCCACGUCCUCACCUCCCAAGAGGACCGCCGGUCGCUCCGCUUGCUCUGCAUCUGCAAGGAAAGGAGAGCAGCCAAGGUCGCUCUCUUCUCCGCGGACAGCAGGGAGUGGCAGAUCUCCCCAGAAGCGGGGAGCCUGCAGCUGACGGCAAGAGGCAAUGGUACGCUUGUCAACGGGUGUGUCUACUGGGCAUCUGCAGACAAUAUCCAUGUGCUCAACACCGCGACACUGCACUUCUCCCGGAUGGAUCCGCCGCCGCAUAUGCAACACAGCUACUACAAGGGUGUCAAGGUCGGCGAGACCAGUGAUGGAAAGCUCUGUGUCGCCUGGGCAACUGAUCUACUGCUUAAGGUUUGGGUCUGGAGAGCCACCGCCGCCGGUGUCGACAAUUGGAUGCCGGACACAGACAAAUCGAUGCUGGAUGAGAUCCGUGAAUUGGAGGUGCCAUGUUUAGAUGAAGACCCUGUACUGGAGGUUAAGGCAAUCAUCGGUGGCAUCGUGUAUUUGUCUGCCUACGAGGCAUCGAGUCCCAGUGCUUGCUGGUUGCUAUCCUUCUGCACUGAAACAGAGAAGCUGAACAAGGUCUGCCCUAUCACCAACUCUGAUUUUUUCUAUCCCUAUUUGAUGGCGUGGCCUCCUCUUCUGUAUGCAACAAGGUGA